rnacentral:rRNA from 1 species
UACGGAGGGGGCUAGCGUUGUUCGGAAUUACUGGGCGUAAAGCGCGCGUAGGCGGCUUUGUAAGUUAGAGGUGAAAGCCCGGAGCUCAACUCCGGAAUUGCCUUUAAGACUGCAUCGCUAGAAUCAUGGAGAGGUUAGUGGAAUUCCGAGUGUAGAGGUGAAAUUCGUAGAUAUUCGGAAGAACACCAGUGGCGAAGGCGACUACCUGGCCCACUCUUGACGCUGAGGCGCGAAAGCUAGGGGAGCAAACGGG